rnacentral:lncRNA from 1 species
GCAGAGACCAUUGACAAUCAGGCUGUUCAAAACUACAGACACACGGCAGGCAGGUAGAGUGUUGGAGCAUUUUCAGUUAAUUUAUGUGAACAGUUCGCCUGUGGUUUUCGGUGUUAACUUCAGAAGUUGACUAAAAUGAGAAGAACAGGGGCACAGCCUAAGUAAUCAGGAGUAACUUUUCUUCCCCUCAAAAAUUGUAAAAAAGAACGUCUUGAUACUUGUCUUCUCUUUGCUUCAAGGUUAAGAAGCAAGGAUCUUAACAUAUCCCAGCAAGGAUUAAAAAAAAAAAAAAAAAAAAAAAAAAAAAAAAAAAACUAUAGAGAAUUUAAGUCUGCAGGUCGUGGUAAGCACAUGUAUGUGUCACAUGUAUGUAUGUAAAUACAUAUGCUCAAGGCUCUUAGCUGGACUUCCCAGGAAUCCGUUCACGUUCGGUGUCCUGUGGGCACACUGUUGUUCAUUCUGAGACCAUGCGCACGAUAAACCUGCCACCACGCACCUUGUUCCCUUAUGCACCCUGAUCUUUCGGAAGGAGUGUUCAUCUGCUUUGUAAAUUGGAGGGCACAGUAAUUUCGUAGCCUUCCUUUGGUUUUAAACAGAAAACUCUGAGGAAAUGUUUUCUUAGAAGAGGAAAUUAUGUGCUUUUUUGAUCCACCUGACUAAAACAACAUUUUUUUUUUUUUAAUGAAUUGUCUGACAAAAUUAUGCGUGGCUAAGUUUAUCAGAGAUUGGAAUAUGUUUGGUUGGUUUACCUGUGGUAACUCUGCAAGUGUAACAAACACACUUUUUUUUUUUUUUUAAUAGAGAAGAGAAGGAUUACUGAUGCCUUCAGCAUACAGGUGGCCCAAAAUGGCCCUAGAUGAUUUCUUGGUCAAGAAGAUGUUUGCAGUGGAAGUUCGUAAACGUAGCUGCAACUGAUUUAUCCCUUAUUCAGUAAGCAUUUGUUGAGCACCUACUAUUGGCUGUGGUGUAAGGACUAAAGCUCAAGUAGGAGGAAGCCAGGCAAAGGAGCAACAGUAUUGUCCUUUAAUCGCUGUAAACUGUGAAAAUAGUAUAUAUUAAACAAAAGGAAUAUGGAAAUGGUCAGCUACAUGUGCCAUCAAUUUUAACAUAAUACUGCAGGUCUGUCUGGCAGGCAGAAGAGAAGGUAAACUUGCUGAGAAUUGGAACUUCACUUUGAACGGUAUGUGGAUAUUGCAAAUAAAAAUGGAUCCCAUGAGGUUUGAGUAACUAAUAGUUGUUCUGUUUCAUGUGAAACUCUGCAAUUUUGUGCAUCGUUUCCAACUUCCUUUUGGAGGUUAGCUAAAAUGGAACAUUUAGAAAUAGGAGACCAGGUUGCUUCCAUACUUUCAUGUCAAGGGGAAGAGGGGAAAAUGGAGGGAAAGACAGGAGAUCUGUAGCCACUGUUUAAAAAAACAACAACAAAGAACUUUAAAUGAAGAAACGAAAAAGGAAAAUACAAUUUAGAUACUUUACAAAAAGAAGCAGUUGUUGGCAAACAAUCUUUUUGGGGGGGUUCUUCACGUGAAGAAGAUUCAGGGUAAGAUGUCUCUCUUGUAGGAGAUAAUCUUCUAAAAAAUGAGUGUGCCAAAGAAUUAAGCUGACACUUUAAGUUUGUGAAGCUUACAGCAAUUUCUACAAAAGCUCUGGUUCUCACGCCUUUCGUACUUAUUGGAGGAAGGCUCUGAGAAGGAGGUGUUGGGCAACAAGCUGUACGAGGUAACAAUAACAGCGGUUAUUGUAAAACCAUGGAAACUGAAGGGAGAUGUAACUAUUAACCUCCUGCAGUUUGCAAGAUGAUUUCCAGUGACUGUUCUAUGUAGACUAUCUCCCGAAUUACCAACACACUUUUUGAACGUGGAGAGUACGAGAAGUACAGAGAUAGCUGAAUAGUUCAUCUGAAGGUACUUCGCCACCUAUUUUUUUAAUCUGACGAUAGAACCAUUUAUGAGAUGCAAAUUUAUUACUUAUAGUUUUAUAGCUAAAGCAAAGGUCUUAAUAUUUUACAUCUAUCUGACCGUUUAUAAAAAGCAUUCAAAAUUUGGUUUUAGCCAUGAAUUCAGAAUAUUUUCAUGUUAUUUAAUGUUAUGCAUAUUGAUAUUAAUAUAAUAGUUUUAACAUUCUCUUUAAAGACUAACAUUAUAUCUCAUUCAAGGAAAGAGCCUCUAUGGAGAUCUGUACUAGCCCAAUUCUAUAUGAACGUAUAUGCCAACAAAAUAUAUUUUAAAAUAUAUUUUAGAUAGUUUUGCAUUCUGCAUUGCAAGUGGGUAAGAGGAUUGCGAAAGCAUAUUCUUGAGUUUGAUCUCAACGUCAUUUAUCGUCUAGUAGAGAAAAGGCUUGGGUUUGGAGUUCUUUACUCUGAGUUUGGUUAAUUAGCUUUAUUUCGUCAUAGUACUUGUUAGUUUUCUUUUUGUGUAUCAUUUCAUUCAUCCACAUAUGGUUUACGCAAAUGGUUUUCUCUGUUACAAAUGUAAUUUGUAUUAAUUGAUGAAAAAAAUCUAAGAACUGAUUACCUAAUGACUAUAUAAAAGUGUUUUCUGUGUAAUAGAAACAGAUCCAACUAGUUAGAGAGAGCUGCCCACUAAACAGGCAUUGUCUUCAGGUUCGCGCAUAGUCUCUGUGCUUUAUUUUAAAAACUAAUGAAGGAUGUUUUAAAAAAAAAAAUGAGUUCGAUCACAGGAAUAUUCAUUUUAAGGUACUUAGGGCUGCCUAAAAAUAUCUCCAGGCCCUCCCUUCUUCCUCACUACUCUUCAGCAGAGGUCCAAAAAUGAGAAAUAGCCCACGUGCAUUCUCUUUUCUGAAGUGAAUCAUCUACCUUGAAAGGCAGGGACAACAAACAGGAACCUACUGCAAAGAACAAAACUGUUUUUUUCCUGCAUUUUUGUACAAACCAGGACUAUUUUGUUAUCAAGGAGGCAUAAAGAGUGGGAAGGGCAAUAAAAUAUCUUCCUGAGUCAUCCAGGUAGCGUUCGGCGGGCUGUUGGGGACCCCGGUUGCUCAGGCAGGAGAGGGCGAUGGAGCUGGAGGGGCCCGGAGGGCAGGGCGCCAGGUGGAUGGGUCCCUCAGCCCACACCCCUACUCCUGCCUUCCUCCAGCCCGCAGCAUUUCCUUGCGUGCAGAUUCGUGAUUCACUGUGACUCAGGAUUAAUUGAGGCUUAUUUCUGCCACCAGCCAAGGGUGAGGAAGCCUAUGGGAUGGCGGGAUCGUGCUACUGUCACAGAGUUGACUCUAACUCGGGGUUCCUCAGCCUCAGGACUAUUACCAUUCUGGGCUCGAUGAUAGCUCUUUGUGGGGGGCUGCUGUCCUGUGCAUCGGAGAAGGUUUAGCGGCAUCCCUGGCCUCUACCCACUAGAUAGAUGCCAGUCGAAGAAGCCCCUCAACCCAGACAAUCAAAAAGAUCUGCAGACGUUGCCAAAUCAUUCCCUGGGCCAGGGGCCCAACGGCCCCCGGUUGGGAACCAUCGCUCUGCACUGGACCACGAAGAGAUGGAGGAGGCAGGCUUAAACCCAGAGGAGAGAUAGGCUGAACCUAUAGUAAACCUGAGACUUUCCUUACUCCAAGAGACUCCUGUAAGGUCCAAGAUUUAAACAAACAGAUUUCCUUAUUCCAGAGCAUUACAGCGAAUGCUCUUCUAUUGCAAUAGCAGUGUUCUCUGCCGUGCUUGGGAUGAAGCACUCUGAUCAGCUCAUCAAAUCCACACGUAAGAGAAAAGCGCAAUAUUCAGGGAUUGAGAGCUAUUGGGGAUUUCGGUGACCUUGGAAGGAGGACUAUGAUUUCAAAGGAAGGUGUGCUCUGGUCGGGGUGAGGAACUUGGCGAGUCAUUCGGGCACGGCCACGCUGGUGACUAAGUAGAGGGACCUAGAUGUGUGGGAGGGAUCCUGAAAGGGAAGUGAAGGGCAACGGUGCUUUAGUUCUGUUUGGGGUCCCUCGAGCCUCCACUGGGAGACAUCUGGGAGGUUUUCAGCCUUACUCAGCUUCCUCCACUUCACCUCACAAUCUCUUCCCUGUUUAUCCAGGCCCCUGUUCGACAUCUGGACUCCUCACUUUGGGGGAGAAAGGAUGUGUUUUAUGCAUCCUGUCCCUCUUUAUUUUUUGCCUUUUUACAAUUCCUCCCUCCCUCCCUCCCUCCCUUUCCUUCCUUCCUUUUUCUUAGCUACCUUCAGAACAAAUGGACUGAAUUUGUCCAAGGGGGACUCCUGCUGGUUAACUGCACACACCUGCCUGUGCCCAGACCCCUUAGCCGGGCUGGCAAGAAGGGGACUGCAGAGGCGGCGGUGAGGGCUUUGUAAUGAAGUGCCUCUGGAAUCUGGUGUCUCAAGCCAGCACAGAUGCUGGCUGCCAACCCCUGAAACACAGCAUUAAGUAUCUUGUCAGCAAGUUCAUUAAUGUGGAAUUAACUCAGUGACCAUGGAUAUUUGAUUUUUUUUUUUUUUCUGAACCAGACAUGGUUGUUUUCGUUCUUAAGUUUUAGAUGGAAUAGAUAUUUUAAAACCUGUGCAAUACAGUCCCUAAAAACUUUAAGCAACUAGACAAUUAGACACCCGAGGGGUGGGACCAUGGUGAUUCUACAUUUCAUAGCCAGGCACAUUUGGAAAUCUAACAUUCCUAGUGAAGUAGGAGAUAUAGCAGUUUUGUAACUGAGCGAGAACAAUCUCCAAGCCCAUCAAAAGGCUCUAAUCAGCCAGAAGAGGCUCUCUAAGAAAGGUAGGCGGUAAAUGAAAUAAUUCUGCACAAUAAAAAGUACUGUUUGGUGAGAGUGGAUGAGUGAUUUGGGUGCUUCUUGAACUGGCUUCUCAAAUUUGAGAAUAAUCUUGUGUUAACAGUGAAUGGUGUUAAUAGAAAUAUUUCAUUCUCUGUAGUAUCUUUGUAUUAAAUCGAAAAUGGUAACAUCCCAUUUAAUUGGCGACGUGGUCAUAAUUAAGAUAGAGAAAACAGAUUUGGUUUAUCUAAAUUUCCUGUUUUCCUUAUAUUCGUUUUCCUCUUUUAUGAUCUGUGCUGUUCUGCAACAUUUUUUUUUCUUAUCUCUAGUGUUGACUGGCUUUGGGGAGCGUUAUGUUUUCUUUCUAAUUAAAAAGUUUAGAAUGAGAGAAAUAUUCAGUUAUGAAUCACUGUAGCCAUUAGCCAAUAAAAUAUAUGUGUUCAUAAAUUUAAACACAUAAAUUAAUUGUGUAGGAUGUUUUUGCAAUGUCAUUAUUUGUGUUUACUUUUCAUAGCUGAGAAUGAUUUUCCAAUGCAACGUUUUCCAUGGAAAUGAAAUUCUCCCUUUUCUUUGAUUAAUUACCAUUUGACUAAUAUUUGAAAAAAGAAACAGGUGGUAAUUAUUUUCUUAAAGUGCUAUCUAUCAUGAAGGCUCUCUAUUUUACAUUUUGUAGCAGAUUACUAACAAUUGUUCUUUUUAACCUUUUCCUCAGAGGAAUAGCGUUUAUGAAUAGAAAAAAAGCAUGUAUGUGAGUUACCCAAAAGUCAUACGGUAGUUGUUUGGAUUUAUCAUGGUGGUGGUGAUUUGGGCAAAAUAUCUGCCCUCUUAAUUACAAGUACUAAAAUUGAUUUGUACUAGCCUAUAGGGAAGCAUCAAAAACGCAUGCACAGUGGGGCUAUAGUGCCAUUUUGCUGUUAACCAUUUUGGAUACUGUAUAGAGUAAUAACACACUAGAAAUAAAUAAACAAAAUGUUGGCCUCCUAGAAAGUUAUUUCUGUUUAGUCAUUUUAGCAUGCAAUUUAGA